AGCGAACGCUGGCGGCAUGCUUUACACAUGCAAGUCGAACGGGGUGAGGAGCUUGCUCCUCAUCUAGUGGCGAACGGGUGAGUAAUACAUCGGAACGUACCGUGUAGUGGGGGAUAACGUAGCGAAAGUUACGCUAAUACCGCAUACGAUCUACGGAUGAAAGCAGGGGACCUUCGGGCCUUGUGCUAUACGAGCGGCCGAUGUCUGAUUAGCUAGUUGGUGAGGUAAAGGCUCACCAAGGCGACGAUCAGUAGCGGGUCUGAGAGGAUGAUCCGCCACACUGGGACUGAGACACGGCCCAGACUCCUACGGGAGGCAGCAGUGGGGAAUUUUGGACAAUGGGCGCAAGCCUGAUUCAGCCAUGCCGCGUGUCUGAAGAAGGCCUUCGGGUUGUAAAGGACUUUUGUCAGGGAGCAAAACUUACUGGUUAAUACCCGGUGAGGCUGAGAGUACCUGAAGAAUAAGCACCGGCUAACUACGUGCCAGCAGCCGCCGUAAUAC
rnacentral:rRNA from 1 species